CCUACGGGUGGCAGCAGUGAGGAAUAUUGGUCAAUGGCCGAGAGUCUGAACCAGCCAAGUCGCGUGAGGGAAGAAUGUCCUAUGGAUUGUAAACCUCUUUUAUCAGGGAGCAAAGUCACCCACGUGUGGGUGUUUGAGAGUACCUUAAGAAAAAGCAUCGGCUAACUCCGUGCCAGCAGCCGCGGUAAUACGGAGGAUGCGAGCGUUAUCCGGAUUUAUUGGGUUUAAAGGGUGCGUAGGGGGGUUAUCAAGUCAGCGGUAAAAUCGUGGGGCUCAACGCCAUACCGCCGUUGAAACUGGUGAUCUUGAGUGGGCGAGAGGUAUGCGGAAUGCGUGGUGUAGCGGUGAAAUGCAUAGAUAUCACGCAGAACUCCGAUUGCGAAGGCAGCAUACCGGCGCCCGACUGACGCUGAAGCACGAAAGCGUGGGUAUCGAACAGGAUUAGAUACCCGGGUAGUC
rnacentral:rRNA from 1 species